rnacentral:misc_RNA from 1 species
GAAAUGCGAUAAGUAAUGUGAAUUGCAGAAUUCAGUGAAUCAUCGAAUCUUUGAACGCACCUUGCGCUCCUUGGUAUUCCUUGGAGCAUGCCUGUUUGAGUAUCAUGAAAUCUUCAAAGUAAAUCUUUUGUUAACUCAAUUGGUUUCUACUUUGGUAUUGGAGGUCUUUGCAGCUUCACACCUGCUCCUCUUUGUUCAUUAGCUGGAUCUCAGUGUUAUGCUUGGUUCCACUCGGCGUGAUAAGUUAUCUAUCGCUGAGGACACUGUAAAAGGUGGCCAAGGUAAAUGCAGAUGAACCGAGUCGAAUAGUCCAUUGACUUGGACAAUACUUUUAUGAUCUGAUCUCAAAUCAGGUAGGACUACCCGCUGAACUUAAGC